rnacentral:rRNA from 1 species
AGAGUUCGAUCCUGGCUCAGAACGAACGCUGGCGGCAGGCCUAACACAUGCAAGUCGAGCGCCCAGCAAUGGGAGCGGCGCACGGGUGAGUAACACGUGGGAACGUGCCCUUUGGUUCGGAAUAACUCAGGGAAACUUGAGCUAAUACCGGAUAAGCCCUACGGGGGAAAGAUUUAUCGCCAUUGGAGCGGCCCGCGUUGGAUUAGCUAGUUGGUGGGGUAAAAGCCUACCAAGGCAACGAUCCAUAGCUGGUUUGAGAGAACGACCAGCCACACUGGGACUGAGACACGGCCCAGACUCCUGCGGGAGGCAGCAGUGGGGAAUCUUGGACAAUGGGGGAAACCCUGAUCCAGCCAUGCCGCGUGAGUGAUGAAGGCCCUAGGGUUGUAAAACUCUUUCGCGCACGACGAUAAUGACGGUAGUGCGAGAAGAAGCUCCGGCUAACUUCGUGCCAGCAGCCGCGGUAAUACGAAGGGGGCUAGCGUUGUUCGGAUUUACUGGGCGUAAAGCGCGCGCAGGCGGUCCUUCAAGUCAGGGGUGAAAGCCCAGAGCUCAACUCUGGAACUGCCUUUGAGACUGUAGGACUUGGGUAUGGGAGAGGUGAGUGGAAUUCCGAGUGUAGAGGUGAAAUUCGUAGAUAUUCGGAAGAACACCAGUGGCGAAGGCGGCUCACUGGCCCAUUACCGACGCUCAGGCGCGAUAGCGUGGGGAGCAAACAGGAUUAGAUACCCUGGUAGUCCACGCCGUAAACGAUGGAUGCUAGCCGUUGGUAAGCAUGCUUAUCAGUGGCGCAGCUAACGCAUUAAGCAUCCCGCCUGGGGAGUACGGCCGCAAGGUUGAAACUCAAAUGAAUUGACGGGGGCCCGCACAAGCGGUGGAGCAUGUGGUUUAAUUCGACACUACGCGCAGAACCUUACCAGGCCUUGACAUCCCGUGCUAAACCCAGAGAUGGGUCGUCCCCGCAAGGGGCGCGGAGACAGGUGCUGCAUGGCUGUCGUCAGCUCGUGUCGUGAGAUGUUGGGUUAAGUCCCGCAACGAGCGCAACCCUCGCCUUUAGUUGCCAUCAUUAAGUUGGGCACUCUAAAGGGACCGCCGGCGACAAGCCGGAGGAAGGUGGGGAUGACGUCAAGUCCUCAUGGCCCUUACGGCCUGGGCUACACACGUGCUACAAUGGCGGUGACAGUGGGCAGCGACCACGCGAGUGGAUGCGAAUCCCAAAAAACCGUCCCAGUUCAGAUUGCACUCUGCAACUCGGGUGCAUGAAGGUGGAAUCGCUAGUAAUCGCAGAACAGCAGGCUGCGGUGAAUACGUUCCCGGGCCUUGUACACACCGCCCGUCACACCAUGGGAGUUGGUUCUACCUGAAGACGGUGCGCUAACCGCAAGGAGGCAGCCGGCCACGGUAGGGUCAGCGACUGGGGUGAAGUCGUAACAAGGUA